rnacentral:rRNA from 1 species
UCAACCUGGUUGAUCCUGCCAGUAGUGAUAUGCUUGUCUCAAAGAUUAAGCCAUGCAUGUCUGAGUACAGACCGAUCUAAGGUGAAACCGCGAAUGGCUCAUUAAAUCAGUCAUAAUUCCUUGGAUAGUGACAAACUUCCUCGGAUAACUGUGGAAAAUCCAGAGCUAAUACGUGCAACUGAGCUUCGACCUCGGCGCGAGCCUUGGGAAAAGCGCAUUUAUUAGAUUCAAAACUGACCGUCGUACUCCUUCGGGAUGCGACGUUUGUCUUAAGUUUGAUGACUCCGGAUAACUUAGCCGAGCGCUACGGUCUUAGUACCGGCGCCGUAUCUUUCAAGUGUCUGCCUUAUCAGCUUUCGAUUGUAGGUUAAACGCCUACAAUGGCUGUAACGGGUAACGGGGAAUCAGGGUUCGAUUCCGGAGAGGGAGCCUGAGAAACGGCUACCACAUCUAAGGAAGGCAGCAGGCACGCAAAUUACCCACUCCCAGCCCGGGGAGGUAGUGACGAAAAAUAACGAUGCGAGACUCUUCCGAGGCCUCGCAAUCGGAAUGAGUCCAUUUUAAAUCCUUGGACGAGGAUCCAUUGGAGGGCAAGUCUGGUGCCAGCAGCCGCGGUAAUUCCAGCUCCAAUAGCGUAUAUUAAAGUUGCUGCGGUUAAAAAGCUCGUAGUUGGACUUCCUAGAUCCAUUUCGCGAGCGAGUCGCUCGUUGAGCUAGCGUUUCGCGCCAGUCGUUUGACGACGGUCGUUGUCGCGAGGUGAUAUCGUCUCGGUGCGUUCCGUUUCGGGUCGCGUGUUUCUCUCUCUUUCCAGGGAAGGAUUCCGCGUUCUCGUUUGCGUAGCGCCCGUCUCUUUUGUCGCCGCCGGCGCGUCUCCGAAUCUUGCGGACGGCGAAGCGUUGUCUUCGAGUAUUGCUCGUUCGCGUUUGGUACAAUUAAAAUUUUGUCGGCUCGCUCGGAGUGCUCUUCACCGAGUGUUCCAGGGUGGCCGACACGUUCACUUUGAAAAAAUUAGAGUGCUUAAAGCGGGCUUAUACGUGGCCUGAAUGUCUGUGCAUGGAAUGAAGUAACAGGACCUCGAUUCUGUUUUUUUUGUCGGUUUUAUUGAACCGAGGUAAUGAUUAAAAGGGACAGACGGUGGCAUUAGUAUUGCGACGCUAGAGGUGAAAUUCUUGGACCGUCGCAAGACUAACUACUGCGAAAGCAUUUGCCGAGAAUGUUUUCAUUAAUCAAGAACGAAAGUUAGAGGAUCGAAGGCGAUCAGAUACCGCCCUAGUUCUAACCCUAAACUAUGCUAACUAGCGAUCCGCCGGAGUCAUUCCCACGACCCGGCGGGAAGCCCCAGGGAAACCAAAGUCUUUGAGUUCCGGGGGAAGUAUGGUUGCAAAGCUGAAACUUAAAGGAAUUGACGGAAGGGCACCACCAGGAGUGGAGCCUGCGGCUUAAUUUGACUCAACACGGGAAACCUCACCAGGCCCGGACAUCAUAAGGAUUGACAGGUUGAGAGCCUCUUUCUCGAUUUGAUGGGUGGUGGUGCAUGGCCGUUCUUAGUUGGUGGAGUGAUCUGUCUGGUUGAUUCCGAUAACGAACGAGACUCUACCCUACUAACUAGUCGGCGGAUCGUAACCCUGAGAUGGUUAGUUUGUGGAAGGGCGGUUUGUCGAGGCGAUCGUCCGCGCCCUCUUCUUACCGGUUGCGGAGUGUCGCGUUCGCGUGGCGUUUCGUGAUGUCUGGUGGUCGGGGUGCGUGGCUUCGUCGAAGCUUCCGUCCGACGACUGCUACUGCUGGGGGCGUCCGUCGCAAUGUAUCUUCUUAGAGGGAUCAGCGGCGUUUAGCCGCACGAGAAAGAGCAAUAACAGGUCUGUGAUGCCCUUAGAUGUUCUGGGCCGCACGCGCGCUACAAUGUAGAGACCAGCGUGCUUUCCCUCUCCGAAAGGAGCGGGUAACCCGUUGAAACCCCUACCCGAUUGGGAUUGGGGAUUGCAAAUAUUUCCCAUAAACGAGGAAUUCCCAGUAAGCGCGAAUCAUUAAUUCGCGCUGAUUACGUCCCUGCCCUUUGUACACACCGCCCGUCGCUACUACCGAUUGAAUGAUUCAGUGAGGGCAUCGGACUGGCGCCUUCGGUUUAGUAACAUAGACCUUAGGCUGACGGAAAGAUGUCCGAACUUGAUCAUUUAGAGGAAGUAAAAGUCGUAACAAGGUUUCCGUAGGUGAACCUGCGGAAGGAUCA